rnacentral:rRNA from 1 species
GACGAACGCUGGCGGCGUGCUUAACACAUGCAAGUCGAACGGAAAGGCCCUGCUUGCAGGGUACUCGAGUGGCGAACGGGUGAGUAACACGUGGGUGAUCUGCCCUGCACUUCGGGAUAAGCCUGGGAAACUGGGUCUAAUACCGGAUAGGAGCCAUUUUUAGUGUGAUGGUUGGAAAGUUUUUUCGGUGUAGGAUGAGCUCGCGGCCUAUCAGCUUGUUGGUGGGGUAAUGGCCUACCAAGGCGGCGACGGGUAGCCGGCCUGAGAGGGUGGACGGCCACAUUGGGACUGAGAUACGGCCCAGACUCCUACGGGAGGCAGCAGUGGGGAAUAUUGCACAAUGGGCGCAAGCCUGAUGCAGCGACGCCGCGUGGGGGAUGACGGCCUUCGGGUUGUAAACUCCUUUCGCUAGGGACGAAGCUUUUUGUGACGCUACCUAGAUAAGAAGCACCGGCUAACUACGUG